rnacentral:rRNA from 1 species
AUUGAACGCUGGCGGCAUGCCUUACACAUGCAAGCCGAACGGCAGCGGGGACUUCGGUCCGCCGGCGAGUGGCGAACGGGUGAGUAAUGUAUCGGAACGUACCUUUCAGUGGGGGAUAACGUAGCGAAAGUUACGCUAAUACCGCAUAUUCUCUGAGGAGGAAAGCAGGGGACCUUCGGGCCUUGUGCUGAUGGAGCGGCCGAUAUCAGAUUAGCUAGUUGGUGAGGUAAAGGCUCACCAAGGGGACGAUCUGUAGCGGGUCUGAGAGGAUGAUCCGCCACACUGGGACUGAGACACGGCCCAGACUCCUACGGGAGGCAGCAGUGGGGAAUUUUGGACAAUGGGCGCAAGCCUGAUCCAGCCAUGCCGCGUGAGUGAAGAAGGCCUUCGGGUUGUAAAGCUCUUUCGGACGGGAAGAAAUUGGUGGGGCUAAUAUCCCCAUCGGAUGACGGUACCGUAAUAAGAAGCACCGGCUAACUACGUGCCAGCCGCCGCCGUAAGAC